UACGGAGGGGGCUAGCGUUAUUCGGAAUCAUUGGGCGUAAAGGGCGUGUAGGCGGCCUGGUGUGUCUCAUGUGAAAGCCCUCGGCUCAACCGAGGAAUUGCAUGAGAAACUGCCGGGCUUGAGUCCGGGAGAGGAGAGCGGAAUUCCCAGUGUAGCGGUGAAAUGCGUAGAUAUUGGGAGGAACACCGGUGGCGAAGGCGGCUCUCUGGACCGGUACUGACGCUGAGACGCGAAAGCUAGGGGAGCAAACGGG
rnacentral:rRNA from 1 species